GACGAACGCUGGCGGCGUGCUUAACACAUGCAAGUCGAACGGUAAGGCCCUUCGGGGUACACGAGUGGCGAACGGGUGAGUAACACGUGGGUGAUCUGCCCUGCACUUCGGGAUAAGCCUGGGGAACUGGGUCUAAUACAGGAUAGGACUCCGGACUGCAUGGUCUGGGGUGGAAAGCUUUUGCGGUGUGGGAUGGGCCCGCGGCAUAGCAGCUUGUUGGUGGGGUGAUGGCCUACCAAGGCGACGACGGGUAGCCGGCCUGAGAGGGUGACCGGCCACACUGGGACUGAGAUACGGCCCAGACUCCUACGGGAGGCAGCAGUGGGGAAUAUUGCACAAUGGGCGCAAGCCUGAUGCAGCGACGCCGCGUGAGGGAUGACGGCCUUCGGGUUGUAAACCUCUUUCAGCAUCGACGAAGCGAAAGUGACGGUAGGUGCAGAAGAAGGACCGGCCAACUACGUGCCAGCCGCCGCAGUAA
rnacentral:rRNA from 1 species